rnacentral:rRNA from 1 species
AUUGAACGCUGGCGGCAUGCCUUACACAUGCAAGUCGAACGGUAACAGGUUAAGCUGACGAGUGGCGAACGGGUGAGUAAUGCAUCGGAACGUGCCCGGUCGUGGGGGAUAACGCAGCGAAAGCUGCGCUAAUACCGCAUACGAUCUAAGGAUGAAAGCGGGGGCACGUAAGGCCUCGCGCGAUCGGAGCGGCCGAUGUCAGAUUAGGUAGUUGGUGGGGUAAAGGCUCACCAAGCCAACGAUCUGUAGCUGGUCUGAGAGGACGCCCAGCCACACUGGGACUGAGACACGGCCCAGACUCCUACGGGAGGCAGCAGUGGGGAAUUUUGGACAAUGGGCGAAAGCCUGAUCCAGCAAUGCCGCGUGCAGGAAGAAGGCCUUCGGGUUGUAAACUGCUUUUGUACGGAGCGAAAAGGUCUCCUCUAAUACAGGGGGCUCAUGACGGUACCGUAAGAAUAAGCACCGGCUAACUACGUGCCAGCCGCCGCAGUAA